rnacentral:ncRNA from 2 species
CGUUCUUAUGUUUUUCGAGCCGUCGCACCUGUGGUCUUGCUAUGGUGUGCCGGCCUGGCCGUGGGAUUUCCACGAGCCGCGGGGGAGGCACUGGAAACGGAUCUCCCUGCCCGCAGGCGUUGCUCUGCACUGCAAAGGAAAACCGGCAGGAAAGCU